UACGUAGGGCGCAAGCGUUAUCCGGAAUUAUUGGGCGUAAAGAGCUCGUAGGCGGUUUGUCGCGUCUGCCGUGAAAGUCCGGGGCUCAACUCCGGAUCUGCGGUGGGUACGGGCAGACUAGAGUGAUGUAGGGGAGACUGGAAUUCCUGGUGUAGCGGUGAAAUGCGCAGAUAUCAGGAGGAACACCGAUGGCGAAGGCGGGUCUGUGGGCCGAUACUGACGCUGAGGAGCGAAAGCGUGGGGAGCGAACAGG
rnacentral:rRNA from 1 species